UUUUCCUCCCCUUUGAACUGGAAAAUGGCCCACUUCCCACUGGCGAAAACUCAUGAAAUUUGGCAGGACGACCGGGCCUGGUGAAAAAUUUGAUAUUCCGAAGUCGCCCAAACAAUAAAAUGCAAAAUGGCUCCAUAGCGCCCCCUAAGGUGAAAAUUCACACUAUUGACUGUCACGCCUGUACGCUUUGGCAAAAUGACACAAAAAUUGACACACACAUGUAUCUCAAUAAGAUCUACAAAAAAGUCAGUGCGGGCGUAUCUGUCAAAUGUACGGUUAAAGGGCUAUUUCGCAUUUUUUGCCGAUCCGCACACAUUGGAAUUUCGCUAACUCCUCCGAAGGCUUUCGUUCCACCGGCACCACAUUUGCUCAGGCCAAUCUACACCCCAUGGCCAUUAAAAGUUAUUCAAAUCAUGACGCUGCACCCCACGGUUUAGGUUCUAGGGGGCGCCAAAGAUAACCCUAAAAUCCACAUAUUUAAAAGUCUUAUAACUUUUUAUUUUUGCCCUCACUGGCCUCCAAGUUUUCUAGGAUGAUGCAAUGUCCAGCCAUCAACACAUUUGUGAAGGAAUUUUUACUCCCCAAAAGAGCGCCCCCCCCAUGGCAGGAGAAAAAAGUCCAUUUUUUCUUGUCCCCUAAGGUGAAAAUACACAUUGUUGAGUGUCACGCCUGUACGCUUUGUCAAAAUGACACAAAAAUUGACACACACAUGUAACUCAAUAAGAUCUACAAAAAAGUCCAUGCGCGCGUAUCUGUCAAAUGUACGGUUAAAGGGUUAUUCCGCAUUUUUUGCCGAUUCGCACACAUUGGAAUUUCGCUAACUCCUCCGAAGGCUUUCGUUCCACCGGCACCACAUUUGCUCAGGCCAAUCUACACCCCAUGGCCAUUAAAAGUUAUUCAAAUCAUGACGCUGCACCCCACGGUUUAGGUUCUAGGGGGCGCCAAAGAUAACCCAAAAAUCCACAGUCUUAAAAGUCUUAUAACUUUUUAUUUUUGUCCUCACUGGCCUCCAAGUUUUCUAGGAUGAUGCAAUGUCCAGCCAUCAACACAUUUGUGAAGGAAUUUUUACUCCCUAAAAGAGCGCCCCCCAUGGCAGGAGAAAAAAGUCCAUUUUUUCUUGUCCCCUAAGAUGAAAAUACACAUUGUUGACUGUCACGCCUGUACGCUUUGGCAAAAUGACACAAAAAUUGACAAUCAUGUGUAUCUCAAUUAGAUCUACGAAAAAGUCAAAGAGCGCGUAUCUGUAUAAUGUACGGUAAAAGGGCUAUUUUGCAUUUUUUGCCGAUUCGCACACAUUGGAAUUUCGCUAACUCCUCCUAAGGCUUUCGUCCCACUGACACCAAAUUUGCUCAGGCCAAUCUACACUCCAUGGCCAUUCAAAGUUGUAAAAAUCAUGACGCUGCACCCCACGGUUUACGUUUUAGGGGGCGCCAAAGAUGACCCAAAUAUACAUUACAGUAGACAAAGUAGUUUUGCCCACUGAGUGGCGCCAAAGGGACUUGUCUGUGGAGUCUGUGAGUCACUAUUGGCCGUUUUUGACUACUUUAGAUUUUACCUUUAUAUUUCCUCUUACAAAAUUUUUACCUUGCCUUGCCUGGUAUCAUUUUUUUCAGCACAACCUCACCUGUGUCAAUUUACAGUUAUUUUAUCAUUUUGACAUACUAUAUUUACACAUUGGACCCAAAUUCACACACAAAACAUAAAAUCCGAGUGGAAAAAAGUAACGUUUUUACUGUGAAAACCACAAAUAUGUGUGAUGAACUGUUUUUAAAACUUAAACUUCAAAUUAAAAUUGUAAACUUCAAAACAUAUGCAAAUUUUUAACAAAGAACAUAGUAAUUUACCUCUAUUUACAUCAAAAUGCAGGCAAUGGCCCAGGCGUUCUUUGUAAAAUUAUUUACAAAACACUGUAUAGUCUCACAAAUGUCACUUUUUAUUUAUGCCACUACAAAAAAACAUGAUGUAAAUGAUGCAUGAUGUAAAACAUGAUGUAAAAAACUUGUGUAGAUCCUCCUCUAUGUCAGUCCAUGUGUAAUUUUUCCAUAAUUCUUUGUUUUUUGCAGCAAUUUUGUUAGUGUAACUGCAGAUUGUGCUGACAGUGUCUAUGGCACAAAAAAAAAAAAAAUUAAAAUGCCUCAACAUGAACCCCUGGUGGUCUCUGAGGGUGAAACCUGCUAACUGCUGCAGCUCUGUCAGCUUCAGUCUCCCAUGCAGAGCUCUGAGCGCAUGUGUGGCUCUGCACCCUUAGCAGCGUUGCUAACUCCUCAGUAAGGAAAGCCUGCUUCAUGUCAGAGUCUCUAAACUCCAGAAGAAGUCGAUAAAAGUCCCUUUCUUUCUAAAAAAAAGUCGUUAGGGGGUCUGAAAAGUCAUUGAAUCUAACAACAAAGUCGCUAGGUUUGCAACUACGUGUCCCAGACUGCAUCCCUGCUGAGAGUCCCUCCCUCCCUUCUCAUGUUGCAGGAAGAACGUAAGCGCCCGCCCCUUGUCAAUCAGUCACCAUAUAAUUUUGGAUUGGUUGUUGUGGUGAAGUUUUCCACCAAUAGGAGAGAUGUUGUGGUGUGUUUUUUUUUUCUUUUGGCAAGCCUUUUCCGCCUGUAAGACCUGUCGCUAAUGUCUGCAUGCUAUGUUUUCCUGUCUCAUACAGCGCGAUCGAGCGCCGAACGUGAUCAAAAUAAGCAGAAAAAAAGUAUCGCGGACAUAAUUUAUCAUAACUCUGGUUUUAUUUGGCCUAUCAACACAAUUUAAAAACUGGUAUAUAGGUUGAGGUCCUCACUUUUGAGAUAACUUGAAACGGAGAGUCAACGAGGCUCCGUCUUGCAGCUACAUCCGGGUAAAUAUGUCAUGUGACUUGAACGCACACAUAGACACACACACGCACACACACACACACACACACACACACACACACACACACACACACACACACACACACACACACACACACACACACAGAGUCUGGUUUUUAGCACCUGCAAAAACAUGCUAUUUACAUUUUUGACAAGAAUGCAGAGGCUCCUUUUGCCCCUGAAAAAAAUCAAAUUUCAAACACAACUUGACUGGUCAUUUCUCCAAAAGACAACCAUGAAGCUCCAUCCAAACCUGAAGCAGGCAGUUGGUGCAUGUGUACAGUAACCUGAGGGGAGUGAGGGGAGUGCUUCUGAGGAGAACAUGAGCAGUGAAGAUUCACCUUGGAGCUAGAACAGAGACAUGCACAUGAUUAUACAGGGGCAGGGGCUCAAGUUUUUUCCAGUCGUUUAUACAAUAUGGAAAUUAAUGUGAAAUUAAAACACAAAGUAUUAAUAGAAAGGUAAUGACUGUCCUGUGUAGGUGACAGUGAUAUCCAAUAGGCUAGGCACUCACGAGGCUGGCUGUGGCAAGUGUAAGUGAAAGCAACACGCACUGGCAGGAAGAACAGCAAACGCCGAUGAAGGAAAAGGGUCUUUGCAGUGAUGGGCGUUACCAGAGAGGGCAAUGGCCAGAGGACACAAAUGGGACGGGGAGGCAGCACGUUGGGGGGGGGACGCAACACGGCUCGGGCCCGCCAGUGCCCCAACGGGGUCCUAGUUCUUUCUUUCUUUCUUUCUUUCUUCUUUUUCCUCCCCUUUGAACUGGAAAAUGGCCCACUUCCCACUGGCGAAAACUCAUGAAAUUUGGCAGGACGACCGGGCCUGGUGAAAAAUUCGAUAUUCUGAAGUCGCCCAAACAAUAAAAUGCAAAAUGGCUCCAUAGCGCCCCCUAAGGUGAAAAUUCACACUAUUGACUGUCACGCCUGUACGCUUUGUCAUAUUGACACAAAAAUUGACACACAUAUGUAUCUCAAUAAGAUCUACAAAAAAGUCAGUGCGGCCAUAUCUGUCAAAAUUACGGUUAAAGGGUUAUUUCGCAUUUUUUGCCGAUCCGCACACAUUGGAAUUUCGCUAACUCCUCCGAAGGCUUUCGUUCCACCGGCACCACAUUUGCUCAGGCCAAUCUACACCCCGUGGCCAUUAAAAGUUAUCAAAAUCAUGACGCUGCACCCCAAGGUUUAGGUUCUAGGGGGCGCCAAAGAUAACACUAAAAUCCACAUAUUUAAAAGUCUUAUAACUUUUUAUUUUUGUCCUCACUGGCCUCCAAGUUUUCUAGGAUGAUGCAAUGUCCAGCCAUCAACACAUUUGUGAAGGAAUUUUUACUCGCCAAAAGAGCGCCCCCCCAUGGCAGGAGAAAAAAGUCCAUUUUUUCUUGUCCCCUAAGGUGAAAAUACACAUUGUUGAGUGUCACGCCUAUACGCUUUGUCAAAAUGACACAAAAAUUGACACACACAUGUAACUCAAUAAGAUCUACAAAAAAGUCCAUGCGCGCGUAUCUGUCAAAUGUACGGUUAAAGGGUUAUUCCGCAUUUUUUGCCGAUACGCACACAUUGGAAUUUCGCUAACUCCUCCGAAGGCUUUCGUUCCACCGGCACCACAUUUGCUCAGGCCAAUCUACACCGCAUGGCCAUUAAAAGUUAUUCAAAUCAUGAUGCUGCACCCCAUGGUUUAGGUUCUAGGGGCGCCAAAAAUAACCCAAAAAUCCACAUUCUUAAAUGUUUUAUAACUUUUUAUUUUUGUCCUCACUGGCCUCCAAGUUUUCUAGGAUGAUGCAAUGUCCAGCCAUCAACACAUUUGUGAAGGAAUUUUUACUCCCCAAAAGAGCGCCACCCCAUGGUAGGAGAAAAAAGUCAAUUUUUUCUUGUCCCCUUACAUAAAAAUACACAUUGUUGAGUGUCACGCCUGAACGCUUUGUCAUAUUGACACAAAAAUUGACAAUCAUGUGUAUCUCAAUUAGAUCUACGAAAAAGUCAAAGAGCGCGUAUCUGUAUAAUGUACGGUUAAAGGGCUAUUUUGCAUUUUUUGCCGAUUCGCACACAUUGGAAUGUGGCUAUCUCCUCCUAAGGCUUUCGUCCCACCGAUACCAAAUUUGCUCAGGGCAAUCUACACCCCAUGCCCAUUCAAAGUUGUAAAAAUCAUGACGCUGCACCCCACGGUUUACGUUCUAGGGGGCGCCAAAGAUGACCCAAAAAUCCACAUUCUUAAAAGUCAUUUUGGCCACUGCAGGAGUACAGAGUACUGCAGUUCUAGGGGGCGCCAAAGAUGACCCAAAAAUCCACAUUCUUAAAAGUCUUUUUGGCCACUGCAGGAGUACAGAGUACUGCAGGAUACACACACAUAUACACACACGCCAACAUACACACACACACACACACACACACACACACUCAGAGUCUGGUUUUUAGCACCUGCAAAAACAUGCUGUUUACAUAUUUGACAAGAAUGCAGAGGCUUCCUUUUGCCCCUGAAAAAAAUCAAAUUUCAAACACAACUUGACUGUUCAUUUCUCCAAAAGACAACCAUGAAGCUCCAUUUCAAACCUGAAGCAGAUAGUUGGUGCAUGUGUACAGUAACCUGAGGGGAGUGAGGUGACUAUUUCUGAGGAGAACAUGAGCAGUGAAGAUUCACCUUGGAGCUAGAACAGGGACGUGCACAUGAUUAUACAGGGGCAGGGGCUCAAGUUUUUUCCAGUCAUUUAUACAAUAUGGAAAUUAAUGUGAAAUUAAACCACAAAUAUGUGUGAUGAACUGUUUUUAAAACUUAAACUUCAAAUAAAAAUUGUAAACUUCAAAACAUAUGCAAAUUUUUAACAAAGAACAUAGUAAUUUACCUCUAUUUACAUCAAAAUGCAGGCAAUGGCCCAGGCGUUCUUUGUAAAAUUAUUUACAAAACACUGUAUAGUCUCAAAAAUGUCACUUUUUAUUUAUGCCACUACAAAAAAACAUGAUGUAAAUGAUGCAUGAUGUAAAACAUGAUGUAAAAAACUUGUGUAGAUCCUCCUCUAUGUCAGUCCAUGUGUAAUUUUUCCAUAAUUCUUUGUUUUUUGCAGCAUUUUUGUUAGUGUAACUGCAGAUUGUGCUGACAGUGUCUAUGGCACAAAAAAAAAAAAAAUUAAAAUGCCUCAACAUGAACCCCUGGUGGUCUCUGAGGGUGAAACCUGCUAACUGCUGCAGCUCUGUCAGCUUCAGUCUCCCAUGCAGAGCUCUGAGCGCAUGUGUGGCUCUGCACCCUUAGCAGCGUUGCUAACUCCUCAGUAAGGAAAGCCUGCUUCAUGUCAGAGUCUCUAAACUCCAGAAGAAGUCGAUAAAAGUCCCUUUCUUUCUAAAAAAAGUCGUUAGGGUGUCUGAAAAGUCAUUGAAUCUAACAACAAAGUCGCUAGGUUUGCAACUACGUGUCCCAGACUGCAUCCCUGCUGAGAGUCCCUCCCUCGCUUCUCAUGUUGCAAGAAGAACGUAAGCGCCCGCCCCUUGUCAAUCAGUCACCAUAUAAUUUUGGAUUGGUUGUUGUGGUGAAGUUUUCCACCAAUAGGAGAGAUGUUGUGGUGUGUUUUUUUUUUCUUUUGGCAAGCCUUUUCCGCCUGUAAGACCUGUCGCUAAUGUCUGCAUGCUAUGUUUUCCUGUCUCAUACAGCGCGAUCGAGCGCCGAACGUGAUCAAAAUAAGCAGAAAAAAAGUAUCGCGGACAUAAUUUAUCAUAACUCUGGUUUUAUUUGGCCUAUCAACACAAUUUAAAAACUGGUAUAUAGGUUGAGGUCCUCACUUUUGAGAUAAGUUGAAACGGAGAGUCAACGAGGCUCCGUCUUGCAGCUACAUCCGGUUAAAUAUGUCAUGUGACUUGAACGCACACAUAGACACACACACACGCACACACACACACACACACACACACACACACACACACACACUCAGAGUCUGGUUUUUAGCACCUGCAAAAACAUGCUAUUUACAUAUUUGACAAGAAUGCAGAGGCUCCUUUUGCCCCUGAAAAAAAUCAAAUUUCAAACACAACUUGACUGGUCAUUUCUCCAAAAGACAACCAUGAAGCUCCAUCCAAACCUGAAGCAGGCAGUUGGUGCAUGUGUACAGUAACCUGAGGGGAGUGAGGUGAGUGCUUCUGAGGAGAACAUGAGCAGUGAAGAUUCACCUUGGAGCUAGAACAGAGACAUGCACAUGAUUAUACAGGGGCAGGGGCUCAAGUUUUUUCCAGUCGUUUAUACAAUAUGGAAAUUAAUGUGAAAUUAAAACACAAAGUAUUAAUAGAAAGGUAAUGACUGUCCUGUGUAGGUGACAGUGAUAUCCAAUAGGCUAGGCACUUACGAGGCUGGCUGUGGCAAGUGUAAGUGAAAGCAACACGCACUGGCAGGAAGAACAGCAAACGCCGAUGAAGGAAAAGGGUCUUUGCAGUGAUGGGCGUUAACAGAGAGGGCGAUGGCCAGAGGACACAAAUGGGACGGGGAGGCAGCACGUUGGGGGGGGGGGGGGGGACGCGACACGGCUCGGGCCCGCCAGUGCCCCAACGGGGUCCUAGUUAGGGCCCGAGCCAGCUGCAGAGCAGCCGGGCGUAGAGCCCUAUUAUUCCUGUAUAGGUUUUUAGGGCCCGAGCGUAGCUGCUAAGCAGCUGCGAGAGCCCUCUUGUUCCUGCAUGUUUCCUUCUUUCGUUAUUAUUUUUCCUCCGCUUUAAACUGGAAAAUGGCCCACUUCCCACUGGCGAAAACUCAGGAAAUUUGGCAGGACGACCGGGCCUGGUGAAAAAUUCGAUAUUCUGAAGUCGCCCAAACAAUAAAAUGCAAAAUGGCUCCAUAGCGCCCCCUAAGGUGAAAAUUCACAUGACGGCUGUACGCUUUGUCAUAUUGACACAAAAAUUGACACACACAUGUAUCUCAAUAAGAUCUACAAAAAAGUCAGUGCGGGCGUAUCUGUCAAAUGUACGGUUAAUGGGUUAUUUUGCAUUUUUUGCAGAUCUGCACACAUUGGAAUUUCGCUAACUCCUCUGAAGGCUUUCGUUCGACCGGCACCACAUUUGCGCAGGCCAAUCUACCCCCCAUGGCCAUUAAAAGUUGUACAAAUCAUGACGCUGCACCCCACGGUUUACGUUCUAGGGGGCGCCAAAGAUAACCCAAAAUCCACAUUCUUAAAAGUCUUAUAACUUUUUAUUUUUGUCCUCACUGGCCUCCAAGUUUUCUAGGAUGAUGCAAUGUCCAGCCAUCAACACAUUUGUGAAGGAAUUUUUACUCCCCAAAAGAGCGCCCCCCCAUGGCAGGAGAAAAAAGUCCAUUUUUUCUUGUCCCCUAAGGUGAAAAAACACAUUGUUGACUGUCACGCCUUUACGCUUUGUCAUAUUGACACAAAAAUUGACACACACGUGUAUCUCAAUACGGUCUACGAAAAAGUCAGUGCGGGCGCAUCUGUGAAAUGUACGGUUAGAGGGUUAUUUCACAUUUUUUGCAGAUCUGCACACAUUGGAAUUUCGCUAACUCCUCCGAAGGCAUUCAUUCCACCGGCACCACAUUUGCUCAGGCCAAUCUACACCCCAUGGCCAUUAAAAGUUGUACAAAUCAUGACGCUGCACCCCACGGUUUACGUUCUAGGGGGCGCCAAAGAUAACCCUAAAAUCCACAGUCUUAAAAGUCUUAUAACUUUUUAUUUCUGUCCUCACUGGCCUCCAAGUUUUCUAGGAUGAUGCAAUGUCCAGCCAUCAACACAUUUGUGAAGGAAUUUUUACUCCCCAAAAGAGCGCCCCCACAUGGCAGGAGAAAAAAGGCCAUUUUUUCUUGUCCUAUAAGGUGAAAAUACACAUUGUUGAGUGUCACGCCUGUACGCUUUGUCAUAUUGAAACAAAAUUUGAUAAUCACGUGUAUCUCAAUAAGAUCUACGAAAAAGUCAAUGCGCACGUGUCUGCAAAAUGUACGGUUAAAGGGCUAUUUCGCAUUUUUGGUUGAUUCGCACACAUUGGAAUGUGGCUAACUCCUCCUAAAGCUUUCGUUCCACCGGCACCAAAUUUGCUCAGGCCAAUCUACACCCCAUGGCCAUUAAAAGUUGUACAAAUCAUGACGCUGCACCCCACGGUUUACGUUCUAGGGGGCGCCAAAGAGGACCCAAAUAUCCACAUUUUUAAAAGUCUUAUAACUUUUUAUUUUUGUCCUCACUGGCCUCCAAGUUUUCUAGAAUGAUGCAAUGUCCAGCCAUCAACACAUUUGUGAAGGAAUUUUUUCUCCCCAAAAGAGCGCCCCCCCAUGGCAGGAGAAAAAGUCAAGUUUUUCCUGCCCAUCGCUCAAUGGCUCAA
rnacentral:lncRNA from 1 species